UAAAUUCAAAGAGAGAAGCCGUUUCUCGGCAUUUACAGUGCAUAAACCGUAGACUAUGAACGGGCAAGGCAACAUUGUCUUCCUUGUACACCACAUUCUUUUCUGUAAAAUUCAAACCCUGAAGCCCUCUUAACCAAAUUACGCGAGGGGUAUUUUCGUUAUCAUGGUACAAAAUCCACCCAAAGUCAAGUCUACCCAGCAAUUUAUAUUUUUGUAAACAAGGAAAGCUUUACAAAAAGAUCGAGCCUUGUCUCAAACAAGAUUGAUUGAGGAAAGAAAAUUUACUUUCUGUUUCCAGCAACUGCUACAUGGAGAUGGCGAUUUGUGUGCCAUAAAUGGAAGAAGUUCAUGAACAAACUUUCCAAAUUUACCAUAUCUUUGCCGGGGAUUAACAGCAAAACCAUAAAUGGUAAACCCUAAGAGCUCCCACCGCCCAACUAUAUGCUACAGGCCUAUACGGCCAUCUGACUUGGAGAUUUUAGAGCGACUCCAUGCAGAUGUAUUUCCUAUCAGGUAUGAGUCAGAGUUUUUCCAAAAUGUCGUCAAUGCACGUGACAUUGUGUCUUGGGCAGCUGUUGAUCGUAGUCGACCUAAUGGUCAGAGUGAUGAGCUUAUUGGAUUUGUUACUGCAAGAAUUGUGCUGGCAAAAGAAAGUGAGAUAGGGGAUUUACUCAGAUAUGACCCCUCAAAACCAGAUCAAACACUAGUCUACAUUCUGACUCUUGGAGUGGUAGAAGCUUACAGAAAUCUUGGGAUAGCAACUGCUCUUAUUCGUGAGGUUAUCAAAUAUUCUUUAAGUAUUCCAACAUGCCGUGCUGUUUACUUGCAUGUGAUUUCUUACAACAAUCCUGCCAUUCAUUUAUACAAAAAAAUGGCAUUCAAGUGUAUACGAAGGUUGCAAGGUUUUUACCUAAUCAAUGGCCAACAUUAUGACUCGUACUUGUUUGUUUACUACGUAAAUGGCGGUUGUUCUCCGUGCUCUCCAUUGGAGUUUGUCACAGCUGUGGUGAGCUACGUGAGGAGUGGUCUUAAGAUGGUAGCUGCGAGGCUACGUAAGAAUGAAGAGAAGCAGAAGUGGCCCAAAUGAUCCUCUUCCCAAGGAAGAGUGAUAUUAUAUAGAUUCUUUCAAGGUUUGUGAUCUUAUCUUGAUAUGAUACUGUUUGGCUACAAAUUUCAAUUCUUGAGAAGACCAUCGUUAUGCUGUUGCAAUCUGCUACAAGGGCAGGAAUUGAGAGAGAGAGAGCGAGUUGGGUCAUUGUACGUGUAAGGCCAUGACAGGGGAAAUUUGUUUUCAAGAAUGGAGGAAAGAAGUUGCAGCAAUGAUAUUGGAAUGGGAGCAUCAUCGAGAAGCCCAACCAUAAUAUGAGGGAAUGAAUCGACAAAAUCACUGGAGAGCGAACCAACCUCACCUAUAUCAGCGGAAACUGCCCUAGAGAUUAAAGUUCAGGCAGCUUGAUUCAUUUUCAUUUUUACAGAGGACCAGUAACCUGACCAUAUGAACCUGGUGUUUUUUUCAG